rnacentral:rRNA from 1 species
UACGUAGGGGGGCAAGCGUUGUCCGGAAUCAUUGGGCGUAAAGAGCGUGUAGGCGGCCCGGUAAGUCCGCUGUAAAAGUCAAAGGCUCAACCUUUGAAUGUCAGUGGAUACUGCCGGGCUAGAGUCCGGAAGAGGCGAGUGGAAUUCCUGGUGUAGCGGUGGAAUGCGCAGAUAUCAGGAGGAACACCAAUAGCGAAGGCAGCUCGCUGGGACGGUACUGACGCUAAGGCGCGAAAGCGUGGGGAGCGAACAGG